rnacentral:rRNA from 1 species
GGGUUGUGAGGUUAAGCGACUAAGCGUACACGGUGGAUGCCUAGGCAGUCAGAGGCGAUGAAGGGCGUGCUAAUCUGCGAAAAGCGUCGGUAAGCUGAUAUGAAGCGUUACAACCGACGAUACCCGAAUGGGGAAACCCAGUGCAAUUCGUUGCACUAUUGCAUGGUGAAUACAUAGCCAUGCAAGGCGAACCGGGGGAACUGAAACAUCUAAGUACCCCGAGGAAAAGAAAUCAACCGAGAUUCCCCCAGUAGCGGCGAGCGAACGGGGAGGAGCCCAGAGUCUGAAUCAGUCUGUGUGUUAGUGGAAGCGUCUGGAAAGUCGCAGGGUACAGGGUGAUACUCCCGUACACAAAAACACACUUACUGUGAACUCGAUGAGUAGGGCGGGACACGUGACAUCCUGUCUGAAUAUGGGGGGACCAUCCUCCAAGGCUAAAUACUCCUGACUGACCGAUAGUGAACCAGUACCGUGAGGGAAAGGCGAAAAGAACCCCGGCGAGGGGAGUGAAAUAGAACCUGAAACCGUGUACGUACAAGCAGUGGGAGCACCUUCGUGGUGUGACUGCGUACCUUUUGUAUAAUGGGUCAGCGACUUAUAUUUUGUAGCAAGGUUAACCGUAUAGGGGAGCCGUAGGGAAACCGAGUCUUAACUGGGCGUCUAGUUGCAAGGUAUAGACCCGAAACCCGGUGAUCUAGCCAUGGGCAGGUUGAAGGUUGGGUAACACUAACUGGAGGACCGAACCGACUAAUGUUGAAAAAUUAGCGGAUGACUUGUGGCUGGGGGUGAAAGGCCAAUCAAACCGGGAGAUAGCUGGUUCUCCCCGAAAGCUAUUUAGGUAGCGCCUCGUGAACUCAUCUUCGGGGGUAGAGCACUGUUUCGGCUAGGGGGUCAUCCCGACUUACCAAACCGAUGCAAACUCCGAAUACCGAAGAAUGUUAUCACGGGAGACACACGGCGGGUGCUAACGUCCGUCGUGAAGAGGGAAACAACCCAGACCGCCAGCUAAGGUCCCAAAGUCAUGGUUAAGUGGGAAACGAUGUGGGAAGGCAUAGACAGCCAGGAUGUUGGCUUAGAAGCAGCCAUCAUUUAAAGAAAGCGUAAUAGCUCACUGGUCGAGUCGGCCUGCGCGGAAGAUGUAACGGGGCUAAACCAUGCACCGAAGCUGCGGCAGCGACACUUAGGUGUUGUUGGGUAGGGGAGCGUUCUGUAAGCCGUUGAAGGUGGACUGUGAGGUCUGCUGGAGGUAUCAGAAGUGCGAAUGCUGACAUAAGUAACGAUAAUGCGGGUGAAAAACCCGCACGCCGGAAGACCAAGGGUUCCUGUCCAACGUUAAUCGGGGCAGGGUGAGUCGACCCCUAAGGCGAGGCUGAAAAGCGUAGUCGAUGGGAAACAGGUUAAUAUUCCUGUACUCGGUGUUACUGCGAAGGGGGGACGGAGAAGGCUAGGCUAGCCGGGCGACGGUUGUCCCGGUUUAAGCAUGUAGGCGGAGUGACCUGGUAAAUCCGGUUGCUUAUCAACGCUGAGGUGUGAUGACGAUGCACUACGGUGCAGAAGUAGUUGAUGCCAAGCUUCCAGGAAAAGCCUCUAAGCAUCAGGUAACAUUGAAUCGUACCCCAAACCGACACAGGUGGUCAGGUAGAGAAUACUCAGGCGCUUGAGAGAACUCGGGUGAAGGAACUAGGCAAAAUGGUGCCGUAACUUCGGGAGAAGGCACGCUGGCAUUAGGUAAAGAGACUUGCUCUCGUAGCCGAAGCCAGUCGCAGAUACCAGCUGGCUGCAACUGUUUAAUAAAAACACAGCACUGUGCAAACACGAAAGUGGACGUAUACGGUGUGACGCCUGCCCGGUGCUGGAAGGUUAAUUGAUGGGGUCAGCCGCAAGGCGAAGCUCUUGAUCGAAGCCCCAGUAAACGGCGGCCGUAACUAUAACGGUCCUAAGGUAGCGAAAUUCCUUGUCGGGUAAGUUCCGACCUGCACGAAUGGCGUAAUGAUGGCCAGGCUGUCUCCACCCGAGACUCAGUGAAAUUGAACUCGCUGUGAAGAUGCAGUGUACCCGCGGCAAGACGGAAAGACCCCGUGAACCUUUACUAUAGCUUGACACUGAACAUUGAGCCUUGAUGUGUAGGAUAGGUGGGAGGCAUCGAAGUGUGGACGCCAGUCUGCAUGGAGCCAACCUUGAAAUACCACCCUUUAAUGUUUGAUGUUCUAACUCGGCCCCGUGAUCCGGGGUGAGGACAGUGUCUGGUGGGUAGUUUGACUGGGGCGGUCUCCUCCCAAAGAGUAACGGAGGAGCACGAAGGUUAGCUAAUCACGGUCGGACAUCGUGAGGUUAGUGCAAAGGCAUAAGCUAGCUUGACUGCGAGAGUGACGGCUCGAGCAGGUACGAAAGUAGGUCUUAGUGAUCCGGUGGUUCUGAAUGGAAGGGCCAUCGCUCAACGGAUAAAAGGUACUCCGGGGAUAACAGGCUGAUACCGCCCAAGAGUUCAUAUCGACGGCGGUGUUUGGCACCUCGAUGUCGGCUCAUCACAUCCUGGGGCUGAAGUAGGUCCCAAGGGUAUGGCUGUUCGCCAUUUAAAGUGGUACGCGAGCUGGGUUUAGAACGUCGUGAGACAGUUCGGUCCCUAUCUGCCGUGGGCGUUGGAAGAUUGAGAGGGGCUGCUCCUAGUACGAGAGGACCGGAGUGGACGAAUCACUGGUGUUCGGGUUGUCAUGCCAAUGGCACUGCCCGGUAGCUAAAUUCGGAAGAGAUAACCGCUGAAAGCAUCUAAGCGGGAAACUUGCCUCGAGAUGAGUCUUCCCUGGGGCUUUAAGCCCCCUGAAGGAACGUUAAAGACUAUGACGUUGAUAGGCUGGGUGUGUAAGUGCAGCGAUGCAUUGAGCUAACCAGUACUAAUGAUCCGUGAGGCUUAACCUUACAACACCAAAGGUGUUU